GGAGUUAUAUAAACCCUAAGUUUAUUUGCCCUAAAAACUCUGUCGAUCCACCUCCCCAGCCUCAACUCUCCGACUUGAAUCGCUGCUAGCCCUAGCCAUCUCUCGACUUCGCUGCCAACCACCACGACGGUCUAGUGUUGGUCGUGAGGAGCCUAGCUCUAUCGUCGACCCUCUUCAGCCAUGAACUACAAGCAGCGGACCUCUUCUUCCUCCUCCCCAUCCUUUCAAUCGGCCAAGCUUAGCUAGGCACCGACACAACCAAGCCCUAGCCCUCUUCAUCGCUCCUCCAGUACUCUCCUUCCAACACUGGAUUGCUCUUCUGAACCGCAGGGAAAAAGGAAAGUAUAAUCCCUCCUGUAGGUAUAGGUUUCGGGAAAAGGAAUAGCAGGCGUAUAAACAGUUUUCUUUAAUGGAGUCAGCUAGUUCUUCAUGAAGUUUUCGUGUUGGCUUUCUGGUCAGGGUUUGGGGAGGUUGCGAUUAUUUCUUUUCUAAUGUUGUUUCAUUCUUCUGUAGUGGAUUUUAAUGGCUAGAAUAGAUUUGAGAGCUUGUAAUCGGUUGUGGGAUUUGAGAUUAUGUUAUUCUCGGUUCUUCCAGUGGCUAUGGUUUUUGGUGAACCAAUUUAGUAGGCUGGAAUGUGAUUUCAAUGGGGUUUUUGUUUCUUUUGGAUGGAUGUGGAUUUGUUAGGACAGAUCUAAGGGUUGUGAAUCGAUCUUGAUGUAGUUUUUGUUCGGCAAGACAACUUUGGAUUUUUGGACAGAUUUGCAGAUUUUGAAACAACCUUGAUAUUGUUUUAGUUUCGACAUAUAGCCUUGAAUUCUGGAUAGAUUUGGAAGAUUGUGAGACGAUUUUGAUGUUGGUUCUAUUUUGACAUGCUAGUCUCGGAUUUCUGGAUGGACUUGGGGAUUGAGAAUCGAAUCUGAGGUUGUUCUUCUUCAUGUGAGGAAGAUGCCACCAAGGAUACGAUAAAGGAUGUGGGGGUGGAAUAUCUGGGGAGACGAGAUGGAAGCAUAACACAUUGUUCGGGGGCCCUAGGAGCUUGUUAUGAAAUUGUAUUUGUUAUGUAGUUAAGGAUUGAAGUCUAUUUGUUGAUUUCUGAUUUGGUAGAAGUCAUCAUCUUCAAUUUACUA